UGCCAGUGCUCAGAGGCCAUUGCACUUCCUGAGGUCUCCCACUUGCUUCUGCUCAUCGUUCCAGCUUCCCAGGAGGGUCUUUGUAGGGUUCAGUAGUGGUAGCCUAGGUUGCCUCACUCAUCCCAACUGCCACAAGUGUCACAUGCUUCCCCCAAACACCUCCCAUCCCUUCAUCUUACCAUGUGGUUCCAUGGACCAAGCUUGCGCUGGGUGGAGGGGACUCUGCAGGGCGAGAGAGUCAAUGAUGGUGUGAGGAUUUUUGCCCGGUAAGCGUAAGUCUGGUGUAGGGAGGAAGAGUGGAAUUCCUUUUUUUAAGAAUAAGUAAAUCUGGACUGCCAUCCCAACAAACAUUUCUCAGGUUAUUUAUAUCCAACAGGCUUGAUAGACUUCAAACAAGGCUCAAAAACCCUAAGUUGCAGGAGGCAGAGGAGGCCUUCAAGAUGCUGAAAUUAUUUCCCAGCCUUGACUAUACACUAUCGGACAUUUUACUGGAUAGCUUGUGGAUAAAGAAAGGGCCAUUGCUACCGCCUCACAAAUGAGUUUGUAGCAGCUUCUCCUUGAAGUGCAAGCAGAUAUGAACUACAGUAAACUGCUUCAGAGCUGCC